AUUGAACGCUGGCGGCAGGCCUAACACAUGCAAGUCGAACGAGUGGCGGACGGGUGAGUACUGUCUGGGAAACUGCCCGAUGGAGGGGGAUAACUACUGGAAACGGUAGCUAAUACCGCAUACCAUCGGAUGUGCCCAGAUGGGAUUAGCUAGUAGUGGGGGUAACGGCUUACCUAGGCGACGAUCCCUAGCUGGUCUGAGAGGAUGACCAGCAACACUGGAACUGAGACACGGUCCAGACUCCUACGGGAGGCAGCAGUGGGGAAGAUUGCACAAUGGGCGCAAGCCUGAUGCAGCCAUGCCGCGGGUAUGAAGAAGGCCUUCGGGUUGUAAAGUACUUUCAGCGAGGAGGAGUUACUCGCAGAAGAAGCACCGGCUAACUCCGUGCCAGCAGCCGCGGUAAUUC
rnacentral:rRNA from 1 species